GGCCGGGCUUCCAUCCGCUCUGCGGACUCGCAGGGUGUAUGUAGCUGGGAGGGAGGUGAUGGGAGAGUGAGGCAGGUGCGGGAGAGUUCGUGUGCACGGGAGAUUCCUGGAGUGAAGAAUGCCACUUGGAUGGGCCUAACCAGCUGUUUUUAACAUCAAGAUACAAGGAAAAAAACAUCUCCUUGAGAGAUCAUUGACUAAAAAUGUGGUUGUGAAACUUCAAUAAAAAUGUAAACAUACGAAUGUGAAGAAGACUUAUUUCUGGAGGGACUUCUCCUUUCUUUAAUUUUUCUGUUGGCUGAAGGGGACAUUCUGCGUUUAAAAUAUAAUAAAUAAUAUAAGGAGUAUAAAAACUACCCUCAUAGAACUGAAGUAAACUAGGUCUCCCAACUAACCAACGUAAUUUUUCUAGGGGACACAUACUCAUCAUAAAGUAAGUGAUAGGCUCCAGUGUAUGUAACCUCAGAAAAUAUGUCAGUAGUUGUCUAUCAAGGAGUAAAACAAUGACAUGGUGUGUUCAUUAAUCAUUAUAAUUAUAUAAAUCAUAUCUGACAUUUAUCAAAUGCUGUUAGUGCUUUUCCUAACUGCUUUGUAUAUAUUAUCUCAUUAUAUUUUCACAAUAAACAUGGAGUAAGUGCUAUUGUUACUGCAAAGCACAUAGAUUACCAGAUUUUUUCACUUUUAACUUUUUAUUUCAAUAUAUUUACAUAGAAGUAUAUAGUUAAUAGAUAUACACUUUCAUGGUUUCUCAUGAACUGAAUAAACCCAUACAAACAGCAUUAAGAAACAGACUGUUUCCAGAUCCCCUAAAGACCCAUGUGCUUACUUUCUAUCUCUACCUACAUAUAAAGAAUAGCUAUUAUUCUGAUUUGUAAUACCAUAAAUUAAUCCUGAUUGCUCUUUAACUUUGUGUAGGUAGGAAGUACUAUAUGUACCCUUUUAAAUCUGAUUCUCUUAAUUUUACAUUUGUAAGAUUUAUUCUUAUUAUUGAGUAUAGUGGUAGUUUGUUGAUUUUUGUUUCUGUGUAGCACUCCAGUUUGUGAAUACACGAUUUACUAGUUUUACUGAAUAAAUAUGACUGAUAAGUGUUUGAAUUUUUUUUUUCUUUUAGGUUGAUCUUGGUUUUUGUUUCUUGGGAUUGCCAUAACAAAGUACUAUACCACAAACUAGCCAAGUAGAUAGCGCACUUCUGUAAUUCUAACACUUGGAAGAUUGAGGCAGGAGAAUCAUGAUCAUAUUUCAGACCACCUGGGCUACAAAGCAAGUUCAAGGCCAACCUUGAACCUACAUAAUGAGGCCCUGUCUAAAAGUAUCACAAACUGCAUGACUUAAAAAGAAAUUUUCUGAAGAUAUAGCUCAGUGGUAGAAUGCUUGCCUACUAUACAUGAGGCCAUAGAUUAAAUCUCCAGCACAAACAAACAAAUUUCAGUUCUGGAAGCUAUAAAUCCAAAAUCAGAGUGUCUGCAGGGUUAGUUCCUUCAAAUUGCUAUAAGGAGGAAUCUAUUUUAUGGCCCUCCCCUACUUCUGGUGGCUUGCUUGCAAUCUUUGGUCUGUUGGCUUGCAAAAUAUCUCCUAACCUCUGCCUUUAUCAUCAGAUGGCUUUUUUUUUUUGUGGGUGCCUGUCUGUUUCCAAAUUUUUCCAUUCCAUAGUCAUCAGUAAUAGUGAUCUUUGGCUAUUUUGCCUGUGCACCUUUCUUCUUUACAGUUGUUAAUCUGGACUUGCUCUUUUUCUUUCCAGUUCUGGCUACAGAGUUUUAUGUGUCCACAUUCAGUACCUAAUAUGGGUCCCGCACAUAACAGGCCUUUAUUAUUAAUUUGCUCACUAGAAUUGGUUUA